rnacentral:misc_RNA from 1 species
GGAAGGAUCAUUACCGAGUGUGGCCCCCUUUCUAUAAUAAGAGGGGUACCUCCCGUCCUUUGCAGGCCCUCUUUAGGGGCUUUUUGACUUUACUUCGGCGGGGUUACCCCGCCGGAAUACCCUCAAUAAAAACUUUUUAUAAACUUUGUUGUCUGAGUUGCUUGCGAAUAAAAUCAAAACUUUCAACAACGGAUCUCUUGGUUCUGGCAUCGAUGAAGAACGCAGCGAAAUGCGAUAAGUAAUGUGAAUUGCAGAAUUCAGUGAAUCAUCGAAUCUUUGAACGCAUAUUGCGCCCCUUGGUAUUCCGGGGGGCACACCUGUUCGAGCGCCAUUUCAACCCUCAAGUAUAGCUUGGUGUUGGGUAUGGUCCUAGGGGACCUACCCGUAACUCGUAGGCGGUCGCCGCCCACACCCCCAGCGUAGCAAGCUUUUCACGCGUUCGCUCGGGGAAUGGUGUGUGAUCCGGCAGCCCAAAAAAAUAUAUUUUCCAAGGUUUGGCCUCGGAUCAGGUGGGGAUACCCGCUGAACUUAAGCAUAUCAAUAAGCGGAGGAAAAGAAACCAACAGGGAUUGCCUCAGUAACGGCGAGUGAAGCGGCAAUUGCUCAAAUUUGAAAUCUGGUUCCCCUCUUAGGGGGCCCGAAUUGUAAUUUGUAGAGGAUGCUUCCAGUCAAGGACGCCGGCUCAAGUUCCCCUGGAACGGGAUGUCAUAGAGGGUGAGAACCCCGUACGGCCGCGCGACCAAGCCAUGUGUUGCUCCUUCGACGAGUCGAGUUGUUUGGGAAUGCAGCUCAAAAUGGGUGGUAAAUUCCAUCUAAGGCUAAAUAUUGGCCAGAGACCGAUAGCGCACAAGUAGAGUGAUCGAAAGAUGAAAAGCACUUUGAAAAGAGAGUUAAAAAGCACGUGAAAUUGUUGAAAGGGAAGCGCUUGCUGCCAGACCCUUCUGUGAUUGUUCAAUUGGUCUUCAGACCAACUCAAUCUUUCACAGUUAGGGCCAGCAUCGGUUUAGGUGGUUGGAUAAAGGCCCUAGGAAUGUGACCCUUCGGGGUGUUAUAGCCUUGGGUAUAAUGCAACUUGCUUAGACCGAGGGAAGCGAAUUUUUUCCAGGAUGCUGGCGUAAUGGUUGCAAGCGGCCCGUCUUGAAACACGGACCAAGGAGUCUAACAUUCACGCGAGUGUUUGGGUUUUAAACCCGUCCGCGAAAUGAAAGUGAACGUAGGUGGGAGCCCCUUUAGGGGGGUGCACCAUCGACCGAUCCUGAUGUUUUCGGAAGGAUUUGAGUAAGAGCGUGACUGUUAGGACCCGAAAGAUGGUGAACUAUGCGUGAAUAGAAUGAAGCCAGAGGAAACUCUGGUGGAAGUUCGCAGCGGUUCUGACGUGCAAAUCGAUCGUCAAAUUUGCGUAUGGGGGCGAAAGACUAAUCGAACCAUUUAGUAGCUGGUUUCUGC